rnacentral:tRNA from 3 species
AGGAGCGUGGCUCAAUUGGUAGAGCAUCGGUCUCCAAAACCGAGGGUUGGGGGUUCGAGUCCCUCCGCUCCUGCCA